rnacentral:rRNA from 1 species
UACGUAGGGUGCAAGCGUUAUCCGGAUUCACUGGGUUUAAAGGGUGCGUAGGCGGCUAUGUAAGUCAGGAGUGAAAGUUUGCGGCUCAACCGUAAAAUUGCUUUUGAUACUGCAUGGCUGGAAUUAGGAUGAGGUCAGCGGAAUGUGGCAUGUAGCGGUGAAAUGCAUAGAUAUGCCAUAGAACACCAAUUGCGAAGGCAGCUGGCUAGACCUGGAUUGACGCUGAGGCACGAAAGCGUGGGGAGCGAACAGG